CACGUAGGGUGCGAGCGUUUGUCCGGAAUUAUUGGGCGUAAAGAGCUCGUAGGCGGUGUGUCGCGUCGGCCGUGAAAACCUGCAGCUUAACUGUGGGCUUGCGGUCGAUACGGGCAUCACUGGAGUUCGGCAGGGGAGACUGGAAUUCCUGGUGUAGCGGUGAAAUGCGCAGAUAUCAGGAGGAACACCGGUGGCGAAGGCGGUUCUCUGGGCAUUACCUGACGGCUGAGGAGCGAAAGUGUGGGGAGCGAACAGG
rnacentral:rRNA from 1 species